GGCCACACCUGGUCAUUACACAUUCCAGGAGGAGAGGGAGGGAAUUACUCUUGUAUUUCUCCAGUGAGGUUUGAACCCACGUUCAUGUCUCUCAAAGCCAUGAACACCUGAGAAAGCCAGCAAGCCUGGAAGGUAAUUAUCCCCAUCUGCUAGACAGGGAAACUGAGGCCUGGAGAACGCCAGGGAGCUGCCCGAAUGUCACAGUGCCUUGGGGAGGAAAGGAACUAGACCUCUGGCCUGGAAUUCUUCCUAGAAGAAUUUCUCCAGCCACAGCACAGAGGUGGAGCAGGUGCGGGAUGCCUGGGACUGAUGAACCUCGGCCACCCGCCGUAAUAAGGACAAGAAGCGGCGAUAACUUCAGUGCUGUUCCAGGGACAAAAAGAGUGACUCCAACUCUAGAAGCCAAGGCACUAAGAGGUCCAGCCACCAGCCCAAUUCUAGGAGGCCCCAGGCCCGAGUCAAGAGGAUACCUGAGGCGCACUGGUGAGAAACCACGUGCGGGCCUGAGCCUGACGUCAGCUUCACAGUGGCCCUUGCAAGCUCCACAAAGCCCCUAGAAGGUGGCUGAGCCCUCAGGUAGCUGAUGGUGGGGGGGGGAAGGCGGUGGGGGGGGCCUCUCCCCCUGUUUACCAGAGGCAAGACGUGACUCCUUGCAAGACUCCAAGGAUACAGCCAGGAGUGAAAUGAAAAGCACAGUCCUCCCCUUGCCCUCCUGCAGACCCACGCCACCUUGGCUGUUGCUCUGGUGCUGUUGAUCGCUGUUGGGAUCAGCUCUACCGUCCAUAAACCUGGCCUCUGCACUCUUCGCUGUGUAGGAUAAAGACCUGGACAUGCAGCUGCUGCGCCGUAAUUACAAGUGUCUGAGCAUUUACAGUCGGGAGAAGCACUGCUCGGUGGUGUCCCCAUGGACACCAGCCUUAAAAUGGCAGCGGGGAGGCGCCAGCCUGACUCUCCUUCCACCUGCACCACUGCACACUGUUCCCUCCGGACAGCGGACGGCAGGGAAGCCUAGCUGCUGAGGUGACCAGACUGGCCUGCGGCACUGUGGACGUCACCUGGGGGGUGUGUAG
rnacentral:lncRNA from 1 species